CUUCCAAGCGGCGUCUAAAUGCUGAGGAUGAGGGAACUGCUGAAGACACAGGGGAGGUCUUUUGCAUGCCAAUUAUCUGGCUUGACUGGAGUUUAGUGGUUCAUUCGUUCUAGAUGAUCUCCUUUCUGCCAGGAACUCAGGCUAAUUCUCCACCCAUGUUGACUUAAUAAGACAUCUUUUAAUACUCUGCUCCAACCUCUGUUUCUGGGAUGCUAGUGGAAACUGAAGCUUUACUGGGAAACUAAGCCAGCCCCCAUGCAAGGAGACUGCUUUUUUAUUUUCACUGGUGAACCUUGUGCAACCUCCUGGUAACACUGAAAUCAGUGGAAUGCACCCUGAAAUCAGAGAUGUCUAGGCUUUUCCUAUAGAUAGGGUCUAAACUAAGGACUUGAUUAUAUUUUUUCUUUCUUUCUUUUUAAAAUAAAAUUGUUACUUCUCUGAAUAUGCACCAGAUAAGAUCUAUGGGGUGAAAUCCUGGCUUUUGUGAAGACUAUUGACACUGAUAAUGCCAGAUACCAGUUUAUUUCAUGUCCUUAACUCUGGUGUUAAAUGCUGUGGUGGCUGAGUUGUUCACACAGAGCUGGCAGACAUGACAUAAGACCUGCAGGAACCCUGGUCUCUUCUGGAGAAGCAGCUGAAAGCCAGUGGGAAAGCCUGGGGUAUCUCAAAUGGCAUCAGACACCUCAGUUUAGGCAACUGAAUGCCACCAUGGGUGAGAGCCUGUAUGAUGUAAAAUCAUCUCCUCUUUUUCCGUAAGAAAUCCUUGUAAUAAAGUAUAUUCCAUAUAAA